rnacentral:rRNA from 1 species
GACGAAUGCUGGCUGCGUGCUUAACACAUGCAAGUCGAACGGUGAAGGAGGGCUUGCCCUCCGGAUCAGUGGCGAACGGGUGAGUAACACGUGGGCAACCUGCCCCUCACUCUGGGAUAACGCCGGGAAACCGGCGCUAAUACCGGAUACGACCAGGCGCGACAUCUCGCCUGGUGGAAAGAAUUUCGGUGAGGGAUGGGCCCGCGGCCUAUCAGCUAGUUGGUGGGGUAACGGCCCACCAAGGCGACGACGGGUAGCCGGCCUGAGAGGGCGACCGGCCACACUGGGACUGAGACACGGCCCAGACUCCUACGGGAGGCAGCAGUGGGGAAUAUUGCGCAAUGGGCGAAAGCCUGACGCAGCGACGCAGCGUGAGGGACGAAGGCCUUCGGGUUGUAAACCUCUUUCAGCGGGGACGAAGCGAAAGUGACGGUACCCGCAGAAGAAGCACCGGCUAACUACGUGCCAGCCGCCGCGGUAAUAC